UUGCGUUUUGCGUUUUGAUUGGAUCCAGUUUGUGAUGAGACGAUUGGGUUUAGAACAAGUAGAACAGUCUUUGCAAAAUCUCAGACACUGCAACAGAAAAGAGAAGAAGGCAAAUUAGUUUGAUCUGCAAUUUCACAAUCCUUGCAAAACCUUGGGCACUGCAAUACAGAAGAGAAGAAGCCAAAUCAGUUUGAUCUCCAAUUUGACAAGAGAGAUGCCAUCAAGCUGUACCGCAUCGAUCAAGCUCUGAGAUACAGAGGUUGGGUUGAAAAUGAG